UUUUCUGGGGGACGAGUAAGGACGGUACCCCAGGAAUAAGUCUCGGCUAACUACGUGCCAGCAGCCGCGGUAAAACGUAGGAGGCGAGCGUUAUCCGGAUUUACUGGGCGUAAAGCGUACGCAGGUGGCUUCGUUAGUCGGACAUGAAAGCUCCUGGCUUAACUGGGAGAGGUUGUUCGAUACUGCGGGGCUUGAGGUUGGGAGAGGGACGUGGAAUUCCCGGUGUAGUGGUGGAAUGCGUAGAUAUCGGGAGGAACACCAGUGGCGCAAGCGGCGUCCUGGCCCACACCUGACGCUGAGGUACGAAAGCGUGGGUAGCAAACAGGAUUAGAUACCCUGGUAGUCCACGCUGUAAACGAUGUCAACUGGGUGUCGGUAGUUUUACACUAUCGGUGCCGAAGCCAACGCG
rnacentral:rRNA from 1 species